AGUGAAGUGUGCUGCUUGAUUGAAUAUAUGCUGCAGGUGAGAGUCCCACGGAUCAUUACCAUUUCCUCCUCACCUCAUCUGGACUCCCAGGAAACAGAAGGUGAAAGUUAAAUAGGGCACACAGAGCUCCAGAGAGGCAGAAGUCAACCUCCAAGUGUAAAUGACCUCUGGUAAGUGGCUACUAUUUGCUGCCUCAGAAGGCCAAGGAUUCCACCACAGCAUGUCUCAGUGAGCGUAUGGGUAUCUUGAGGAGCUGGAGGCUUCGGGCAGCUGCAAGCUGACAGGGAGGGCGGCUAUGGGAGAUAGCCACAGGGACACCCACGUGGGGCUGGCUGACAGACACCACCUCCCAGGAGAUACCUACAACUAAGGCAGCUGGCAUCAACAGAAAGGCUGCAAUUAUAACAACAACAACAACGAAAUCUUAAAAAAUGACCUGCUUUGCCUAACAAAUGCUUUCUAAAACUAGGGAUGCACUUUAGUGCUUAUGGAGCUGGAAAUGGAUUUCCCAGCAGCAGCAGAAGGGGAGUCUUUUGCACAUCCAUAAUAAAGACAUUAUAAAUGCUUUCUUCCUUAAAAAAAAAAAGAAGAAGAAGAAGAAGUUUGGUCUGUAUUUGCCUCUUAGAGCACACAUCAGGAGUGGGAAUGAGUGUGGCUCCAAAAGAGAUGAUGAAACAUGCUUAGCAUCGUGACUGCUCUGGUCAGAGUCUCCACACUGUUCUGUAUGAAUCUUUUAUCAGCGCUUUAUGAAAAUGUCACGUUUUGGUCAAAAGUUAUGUAGUUGUUCUGCGAUCCAACCCUUUGUCUCUUAGUAUUGGAGAAAGCUUUCCCGAUGCUGUUCAUGGGAACUGGAUAAGGCUGUAAGUCAUUACACUGGGAGCCCUGUUCGGAGCAGCUUUGCUGAGCGUAUCUGCAUUGUUUAGGCUUAUUGCUUUGUGCAGGCUGAGGCGCUGGCAAAGGAGACAGUGAUGCAUAAAUGCAGUAAGAAGAAUUGUAACAAGCUGUAUUUAAAGAGUCUGCUGUAUUUUGUUUCGAAGUUCUACUUACUUUUGCCCUUUUCAGUUUCUAAUACGUGUACGUGCGCAUUUCUUUUCCGAUGAAACUUUGAGACGUUCUUGUGAAGUAUCUCCUUUAUGUAUGUUGCAGAGAAACACUAAGCACGAGG
rnacentral:lncRNA from 7 species